rnacentral:rRNA from 1 species
UACGGGGGGGGGCAAGCGUUGUUCGGAAUUACUGGGCGUAAAGGGCUCGUAGGUGGCCAACUAAGUCAGACGUGAAAUCCCCGGGCUCAACCCGGGAACUGCGUCCGAUACUGGGAGGCUUGAAUCCGGGAGAGGGAUGCGGAAUUCCAGGUGUAGCGGUGAAAUGCGUAGAUAUCUGGAGGAACACCGGUGGCGAAGGCGGCAUCCUGGACCGGUACUGACACUGAGGAGCGAAAGCGUGGGGAGCGAACAGG